AAGUUAGAUUCUGAAAUAUAUUGAAGAAGAAUAUGAAAUACAUUGAAGCUUUAUGCAAUCAGCACAAAGACAUCUAUAAUAAGAGCAUCUGCAGGGCAUCACUAUCCCAAGGGAAUCCUUGUUCCAUUUGGCAUCUGCAGUGAACACUGUCCAGUGCAAUGAUCUUCAUUAUUGGAAUUCUUUGAAGAAUAAAGAAUUGCCAUCACUUUGAGAAAAUGUCUAAAUACACCGGCCACUGAACUCUAUUUCAGACAUUGUGAUAGAUAAGGAGGAUACAAAGACUUCAAGGGAGCCAACAGAGACAACAACAACAGUAGUUGCUGCCCUCAAGGAGUUGACAGUCUACUGGUAUGGAACAAUUAUAUGCAAAUAAGAACAACUGAUGAAUGGGGAACAGAGACAGCAGCACUUUGAGGCUAAGUGCUGGUUCAGCCUUAUCCCUCUGGAGAAAAGACUGUGAAUUUACCAUGAGGGAAAAGUCAAUCCAUGAUUCAUACUUCCAGGAAAUAGGAAAUGGCCAUUUUCUGUAGUUCACCUUUCUGAAGCCCAAUCAAGAGUUUCUCACUGACUUGCCCUGGAAGUAAGAACAAGAAAUUGUCUACUCUAAGCUUAAGAUUCCAAAGUAUACUUUGGGAUGAUGUCCAAAAGAGCGGCCAAAUGUUUUGACUACUUUGGCUUAAUCAACUAAUUAACAGAUUAGUAAAUCAAAGAAUUACAGAAAUUGAAUUAAUUAAAAAUGGACAGCUCAGCAAGGCACCUAUUCUUCUCAUGCCUGAUAAAGAAUCUCUGGUGUGUGAUCAUCUACCUUCUGCCCGAAGACUUCCAAUAAUGGGGCACGGACACAUUGUUUCUUGGGGCAGAUUAUAGAGAACUCUAAAAGUUAUGAAAUUUUAAUCUUCCAUUUCUCUAUUUUCAGCUUCCACCUAUUUCUCCUAGUCUCCCCUCUAGGACCAAGCAUAACAAAAUUAGUGUCUCUUUCUCAUGCUCACUUCAAGAGAGAUCCCUCUGAAUAUUCAAUUUUCCAGACUAAACUUCCCCAUUUUUUUCAACCAAUUCUACAGCAUGAAUUCAAAAUUUUUAAUCAUCCUAUUUUCCUCUUCUGGAUUCUCUUCAAUUUAACACUGUCCUUAGUUAACAGCCAAGUCAUUGAAAGAUAUCACAAAAUUUUCAAGUUGGAAGGAACAUCAAUGGCCAUCUACAUUUCAUUUAAGUAAGCCUAAAUUUGCUUUAUAAUUCUCACCUAUUGCUUCUAGUUCUGCCUUCUGGACCUAAACAAACAAAUUAAAUCCUUCUUCCACAUGCAAUAUUUCAAAUACUUGAACAAAGCUAUCACAUCCUUUUGGAGCCUUUUUGAUUCCAGGCUAAACAUCUUCAUCUCCUUCAAAUGAUUUUCAUAUGAAUGGCCUCAAAGACCUUCACUAUUCUUGGCCAUGGCUUUCUAUAUAUCCUUUCUAAAAUAUGAAAGCCAGAACUGACUAGUACUCCAGAUACAGUCUGAAUGAGUAUAGUUUUAUCUUUUAUUAAAAGAAAAGAAAAGGCAAUACCAGCAGAUAGUAUAUAUCAGCAUUAGAUCCAACAAUGAGGUCAGGUUACAAGUAGUUGAUGAGGAGCUGGGCGGGGCAUUGGUCGUCUUAACACAGAAUAAUGGGUGCAAUGGCCAGAGAUGACUCUCAGCAACUUCUGUCCCAAACAGGGAUGCACAGGGAAAAAUAUUUAAAUAGGGGAGAUUCUGAAGAACAGCACUAGUAAAUUCCUUAAACUUACCCAUUACCCUUACCCUUACCAGCUUACUAAGAAGAGUGCAUGAGAUAAAGUCCAGAAAAAUAGUGAUACAGGCAUCGCGAUUUAGGGUAACUGGGUAUUUCUGGUCCAUCUCUGUAUCUGUGUUGAAUUUCUUGUGUGGACCCAUCAACAUAUAUAGUCGUAUGUCCUGGAUUUCAUAAAUACUUAACAAUAAAAAGGGAAAACCUAAGCACAGAGGAGUGGAGCCCCAAAUUCAGCCUUGGUUUUUUCUCAGCAUUCACAGCUAAGCUCAAUCCUCCAUCCCUCGAGAUAAAUGAUUAGUCACAUGUGACAAAUGUGACAAAAGCAGAAAGCAGGGCUGAGGGCAAACCAAGCAACAUUAGACCUGGUCAAAAUGAAGCCAGAGAUCUGGAAGUCUGUUUCCUCAUCUUGUUGAUGGUUAAAACAUUAUAAGUGAGGAGAAGACAAUGGUCAGAAACCAGAUAGAUGGAUAGAAACUAGAGAUUCCCUCCUUAUUUAAUUUGACACUAUAUCCCAACCUUGUAGACUUCAGAAUCAUUGAUUCUAAGGAACUUAGAAUACCCAGAAAUGUCCCUUCUACCCGAACACAUGCGCCCACAUGAGCACACCCACCCCCACAUACCUCCCCACACAUGCUUCUAUAUAUUUACUUCUGAGCUAAUAUCCUAGAGUCCAAGUAUCAUUUCCUCUUCCCAUAAAGAAUAAAUUUCACUUCAUCCCCAUUGUCUUUCUAGUUUCCCUAAAGUAGAGUUGAACACCCCUUUCCUGUGGGACUAAACAGUAGUUAUCCAGAGACUGUCAAAGAGGCCCAACUGAUGUCCAGUUUAUUCAUGCAUGGGAUGUAGCAACUGAUGAUGCACACCUAGCAUGGAGUCUCCCUGUGGGUAUUCAUCCAUACAAAGUGAUAGAUAUGAUCAAUGGACAAUGGAAUUAAUAGGAAGGAUAAAAGGAGAAACAGAAGGGCAAAAAUAGCCUGGGAGUACACAUACCAAUGCAGUUUGGAGACUUUGAGAUUUCUUCUCCCUUCCAUCCAAAGUUGAAUAGUGAUUACUGUUAUAGCUGUAUUGAUAAAACACCAAUCUUAUUUCAAAGCUUCCAAUGAUAACUGCAAUGAUACAAUGAUAACUAAAAGUGGUCUUCCAGUCCCCUGGAAAGCCAUUACUUCCUGUGCAGAUGCAACAUUCCUAUGGAGUAUCAAGACUUUCAGAACAUGAAGAUUCCAGAGUUUCAAUGGGAAUUAGCAAGUGCUACCUCCAUCUCAUCCAUUUUUUUCUAGAUUGAGAGUUGCUUUAUAACUGGAGUCAGAUCCCUAACCAGCAGACUGCAGACUGAUAGUAUCCCAAUCAUUUGGGCCUAUGUCCAGGUUGGGAGAGAAGAACCUUGGCUUAGGAAAGUAAUUGUGCUUGCUGACAUUUACACUAUAUAUACCUAUUGUUCCUGAUAUUAGCAUGACAUUUUUGUAAUCCAAUUAAACUGUUUUUCUUUACCACAA